rnacentral:rRNA from 1 species
AGGGUUCGAUUCUGGCUCAGGAUGAACGCUGGCGGCGUGCCUAAUACAUGCAAGUCGAACGCAUUACUUCGGUAGUGAGUGGCGAACGGGUGAGUAACACGUAGGUAACUUACCUCUAAGACGAGGAUAACGACUGGAAACGGUCGCUAAAACUGGAUAGGAUCAUUUGAGGCAUCUCGAAUGAUUUAAAGGGGCUUUCAAGCCACACUUAGAGAAAGGCCUGCGGCGCAUUAGCUAGUUGGUGGGGUAGAGGCCUACCAAGGCGAUGAUGCGUAGCCGGACUGAGAGGUCGAACGGCCACAUUGGGACUGAGACACGGCCCAAACUCCUACGGGAGGCAGCAGUAGGGAAUUUUCGGCAAUGGGGGAAACCCUGACCGAGCCAACGCCGCGUGAAUGAAGACGUAUUUCGGUAUGUAAAGUUCUUUUAUUAGGGACGAAAGUCCUAACUAGGAAAUGAGUUAGGAGUGACGGUACCUAAAGAAUAAGCCCCGGCUAACUAUGUGCCAGCCGCCGC